AUUAAAAUUUCUAUUGUUAAUCUUACAGUGAAUAUAGAUGUUUUUUUUUUAAUAAAUCGAAAUCGAAAUCAAUUUUAUAAUAAUACCAGACAACCUAAUUUUACAUUUUUUAAAUCUAAAAUGUCUUUGCAUUUGAAAUUCCUUGGAAUUAUCAGACAUUAGGCCUACACCAAUGUCAUGAUAUAUUAAUUCCGUCCUCAAUCAUAUUAAGCCUAUAUUGUAAAAGUAUCGAUAAUGGUCGUUUUAUGUCUUUUUUGAUAAUUCUCAGUGUGAACAAGGAGGCUUUGAAGAGGAACUUUUGCUAUCGUCUUUGACAGGUAUACUGUACCACCAGGAUAGCAAUGCUUUUUUGCUACUCUUAUUUUGGUGCCGUUCAUUUACGAGGUGGUCUGCUGUCGACACUAUGUAUGUUACAAAUUAUUUUAACAGCUACAUACAUGAUGACUCGGAAAAUGCAAAAGGGUCAUUGCCUGGCAAGAAUGUGGUGCAGUGCUUUUCGGACCAGUAUCCAAAGAUUCUUCCUGAUGUCGAAAAUAAGGUUCAAGCCAUUCAAACUAAAGUCUUCAAUGAACGUCAGAAACUUAGAAAUAAAAACAAAAAUUAAGUAAUUUCUGACAACAAUAUAUGUUUAGCAAUGUGGCUGCUGAUGACUGUAGAACCAUUUAUUUUUGCCAUUUUACGCUUUUGCGAUCAUUUGUUUUCGCGAUUUAAUCUACUGCGGAAAAUGAAAUUUUUGAUCUAAUGAAAUGUUUUCGACUUUGCUGGAAAAAAAAAAACAUUUCCUCUUGCAUAGAAAGUGUCUUCCACCUCGUCUUGAACUUUAGUAACACUUGCGAAAGUCUGGUUCUUUCUUGGCAGAAUAGGGAUUUGAAGGAAAGUGGACACAAUGAAUGGCAAGACCCAUGAAUUGCCAAACAGGGCUAGAAUGUCUACGGGCCAAUUGCCAUUAUUGCACAUUUCUUAAUUUUUCCCUGUAGGGGUGUUUACCAGACUAGAUAAAAAGGAUUAAAAGUCCUCACUUAAUCACUGCCACAAAGUUCCGUCAUUGUGCCUCAACGCUUUAUUUUUUCUUAAUUUUGCCCUGUAGGGGUGUUUACCAGACUAGAUAAAUAGGAUUAAACGCCCAUGUCCGUAUUGUGGUACUGGACCAAAAUGACGUUGUUAUCCGUAUGUCCCCUCAAGUGGGUCGUAUCGGCACCGCUCUUCUCUUCUAUCCAUUGCUU